UACAUGGUUCAAAUGUACAUAGAAAGUACAUAUAAAUAUCUGGAGGAAGAUUAUUCCAGGUGGAGAGAACUCCAAGACCUUGUGGCAAGAAGGGGCUCAGCAUGACUGACAAAUAGCAAGAAGGAUGUCAGCUGUGGCACUGGCUACCUUGACACAUCCUCAUCUGAAGAAAAAAUACAAAGAAGGCCUGCCAUGAUGACAAUUUACUUCAUGAAGAGAAUGGGUUCUGAAACGGUCAUUCUUUUCCAUUUAAACAAUGUUACCAUCUCCCAAAGAACAGCUUUGGGGUAGGAAAGAACAGUAUUUCAUUUCAAGCUGGACUACUCAUCUACCAAAAAACCAUUCUAACCAAAGAAACAGAUGCAGAAUUAUAGUCACAGCUGCAUUCUGCACAGAACAAGUUGGAUAAUGGUAUUCUAAAUUGCUAAUUAUACUGUUAAUGAUUUUUUAAGUGUCAUUGCAGUACUUUGCCACCUUUGUUUAAAAAUUUUUA
rnacentral:lncRNA from 1 species